GUCAGCCGCCGCGGGAACACCGGCAGCUCUAGUGGUAACAAUUUUAUUGGGCCUAAAGCGUCCGUAGCCGGUUUAAUAAGUCUCUGGUGAAAUCCUGUAGCUUAACUGUGGGAAUUGCUGGAGAUACUAUUAGACUUGAGACCGGGAGAGGUUAGAGGUACUCCCAGGGUAGAGGUGAAAUUCUGUAAUCCUGGGAGGACCGCCUGUUGCGAAGGCGUCUAACUGGAACGGUUCUGACGGUGAGGGACGAAAGUUAGGGGCGCGAACCGGAUUAGAUACCCGGGUAGUCCUAACUGUAAACGAUGCGGACUUGGUGUUGGGGUGGCUUUGAGCUGCUCCAGUGCCGAAGGGAAGCUGUUAAGUCCGCCGCCUGGGAAGUACGGUCGCAAGACUGAAACUUAAGGAAUUGGCGGGGGAGCACCACAACGCGUGGAGCCUGCCGGUUUAAUUGGAUUCAACGCCGGACAUCUCACCAGAGGCGACAGCUGUAUGAUAGCCAGGUUGAUGACUUUGCUUGACUAGCUGAGGAGUGGUGCAUGG
rnacentral:rRNA from 1 species